rnacentral:rRNA from 1 species
UGGGGAAUUUUGGACAAUGGGGGAAACCCUGAUCCAGCAACGCCGCGUGAAUGAAGAAGGCCUUAGGGUUGUAAAGUUCUUUUAUCUGGGAACAAAGGCUAUUGGUUAAUAACCGAUGGAGAUGAGGGUACCAGAAGAAUAAGCACCGGCUAACUACGUGCCAGCAGCCGCGGUAAUACGUAGGGUGCGAGCGUUAAUCGGAAUUACUGGGCGUAAAGGGUGCGCAGGCGGAUGUAUAAGUUGGAUGUGAAAUCCCCGAGCUUAACUUGGGAAUGGCAUUCAAAACUAUACAUCUAGAGUUUGUCAGAGGGGGGUAGAAUUCCAAGUGUAGCAGUGAAAUGCGUAGAGAUUUGGAGGAAUACCGGUGGCGAAGGCGGCCCCCUGGGAUAGAACUGACGCUCAGGCACGAAAGCGUGGGUAGCAAACAGG